CAAUAGCGUAUAUUAACGUUGUUGCAGUUAAAAAGCUCGUAGUUGGAUUUCUGGAGGGAGCGUCGGCCCGUAUUUACGAGUGCGUGACGUCUCUGUCCAUCCUUGCGGGAAGGCACGGCAUUGAUUUGUUGUGUCGGAUCGCAUCAUUUACUGUGAAAAAAUUAGAGUGUUCAAAGCAGGCUUUCGCUGAAUACAUUAGCAUGGAAUAAUAAGAUAGGACUUUGGUGCUAUUUUGUUGGUUGAGCCUAAAGUAAUGAUUAAUAGGGAUAGUUGGGGGCACCUGUAUUGCGUUGUCAGAGGUGAAAUUCUUGGAUUUACGCAAGACAAACAGCUGCGAANGNGUCUGCNAAGGAUGUUUNCAUUA
rnacentral:rRNA from 1 species